GAAACAAAGCAGUAGGCCAUUCGUGAUGGCAAAGUUUCCUGCUAUCUGUUAAUUACAUAACAUUCAAAGUUAUAAUCUGCGUCCAUCGGCCAAGUUGCCCCAAAAAUAAACCGACAGCCAGAUGGUCAAGUGGAAUUUUUUUUAAGCGAGUUUCAUUCUCCUCCCCAUUUUCUUUUUUCUUUCUGCCGAGAUUUCGUUUCGUACUAAUGGAUGCCACAAAUUUUAGUAGAGAAGUGGUCGAGGAAGGCGAUGGCGAUGGCGAUGUGGAUGGCGACAUAGACAGACUACAAUUUGACUUACACAACUGCCAAUUUGCAGCACAAAACUAUAGGGAAACACCUCCGCAGUGCCCCCGAUCAGCUCCCUUCAUCCACCCCUCGACUUGUCGCACGUUUAUGGCUCCGACGAACAUUUUUGAGUAACAACUUUGCUGCGUGACACGAAUGUCGAGCGGUGAGGCACUUAUAAAAUGUCUUGGCAUGUGAUCAGCGGCUGCCUGCUGAUGGCGAAGGCGAUGGAGAUGGAGAUGGCGGUGGCUAUGAUGAUGAUGUUGAUGAUGAUGGCCACGAUGAUGAUGAUGGCAAGGUGACAGGAACGUGGUUGGUUGGCUCCGAAAAGGGUUUCCGCAGGUCGCGUUAUAUCGCUGAUAAAUUGCCCCGAAAUGACCCCGAGUAAUAGAAACUGCGUGUGAGAAUAAUAAACCAAAUCGAUUUAAGGCUAUGAAUUACUAUGAAAGUUUAAUGUGUAAGUAUUGCGUUUAACCGAUGAAGAAGGCAAAACGUUUAUGAUAUAAUAGUAUAAUAAUAUUUUGAACGGUUAUCCAAAGACUUAAAACGUAUUGUUCCACAUAUAUUUCGUAUUCCACAUGUUUUACGUGUAAUAAAUAGUUACAAAACUGCUACCCCUUCAAGCAAUGCUGAAUUUGCUACCGCUUUUUUAAAUUUUGCGAGUGCUUUCUGGCCAACACCAAAGACGAUUCCAUUUAUCAGGUGGGUGCGAAAAACCCAUCAGGAAGGACUUAACUCCUCAGCCAAGGCGAUGUUGACAAAUUCUUUAUCGUUUGGCAUACACUUUCCGCUGAUAUUUAUACAGAGCAUUGUUGCUGUUGUUGUUUUUGCCGUUUGUUAACCCAUCAUCAACAAUCGUGACAAAAGGCUCAAAUCUGUCACAUUCAAAACACGUCCUUGCUCCGCACCUGUGUGUGUGCGUGAGUGUUUGUUUGUGUCGAACGCAAUCGGAAUUCACAAAUUUCGAAUUUGAAAUACCAUUUUUUAUUUGUGUGUCACCUUUUUAUGGAUUUUUUUAUUUACACCGCAAACAAAUUGACUUUGGUGAAAUGAAUUACUUUGCAUUGGAGCCUAAAUAAUUGGUUGGAUAUUCUACGAUGUCAAAGCUAUAAAUUGAUCAAUCAAAAUGUGCAUAUGCGAGUUACCCUGUGGCCUUCAAUGAUUGCACAACAUUAUGAGGGGGAAACCACAGAUAAACAAUCCUUGUAACCUUCGGCACUGGUGUAAGCUGUAAGGGUUCUAUAAUUAAGCCACCUACUGACCUAGUUUCGCCCACAAGUCGUUAUGCUAAUGCCUUAAACAAGUCCUGAAUCCUGGCACGAAUCUCGGCCAUCGAUUGGCCAUCGUUCUCAUUAAGGUAGUCGGUAAAUCCUGUAACUGGACCUAUUGAAAUCUUUUGGGUAUUAUUUUUAAUAAGUCCCGGCAAUCCAGGCCACUGUAGCUUGAUCUUUAUGCCAAAAGUGCUUACUUGCGAUACACUCUAAGCCACUUAACGUGAGUCAGCAAAGCGAAUCUCAUUAACAGGCUUUAAUUUUGAAAACACACUUAAGUGCGAGCCGUAUCCCCCGCUUUUCCGCUUACCCCCUUUUGGCCCAAUCUCCAUCACCAUCUUCAAUCUCCAGCUUCAGUCAAGUCGACAACUCGACAACGGCAACCCUCAUCAGGAAUAUGUAAGGACAUCGAGGACGAGACCAGGGAGGAGAAGGAGGGAACCGGGGCAAGGCGAGCUCAUCAUCAGCCGACGUAGUCCGCCGUCAUUUAGUAGUCUACUUAACUCGUCUAAGGAUGCUCGUGGCAGCAACAGCAGGAGCAGCAGGAGCAGCAAGGAGCAAAAGCAAAGGCAGCAGCAGAAGCAGAAGCAACAGCUUGAGCAGCCGUUUGAGUUUCCAAUUGGAGGUGGAACAAGUAUGCGCCAUGGUGAUGCCAUCCGCUUGGACCUUGGCAUACCCCACUGUCCACCGCCCACCGCACACCGCCCUAUUGGUUAAUGAGCUCACACAGGUACUUUCCGGGGGAUGGGGGCGGGGGAGGAGGAACUACCAACUCCGCUUGGCUAAAAACAUCCCGCACACUAUCUCCGGAAAAGUCCGCAAUCUGCUGGUAGUGACAGCGCACAAAGGGGCAAGUCUUUCGCUUUCGCCCAUAACAGCAAUUAAUUGGCCCAAGUGGCUGACA